rnacentral:rRNA from 1 species
AUUGAACGCUGGCGGCAGGCCUAACACAUGCAAGUCGAGCGGAUGAAGGGAGCUUUCUCCUGGAUUCAGCGGCGGACGGGUGAGUAAUGCCUAGGAAUCUGCCUGGUAGUGGGGGAUAACGUCCGGAAACGGGCGCUAAUACCGCAUCCGUCCUGAGGGAGAAAGUUGGGGUUCUUCUGACCUCACGCUAUCAGUUGAUCCUAGGUCGGAUUAGCUAGUUGGUGGGGUAAAGGCCUACCAAGGCGACGAUCCGUAACUGGUCUGAGAGGAUGAUCAGUCACACUGGAACUGAGACACGGUCCAGACUCCUACGGGAGGCAGCAGUGGGGAAUAUUGGACAAUGGGCGAAAGCCUGAUCCAGCCAUGCCGCGUGUGUGAAGAAGGUCUUCGGAUUGUAAAGCACUUUAAGUUGGGAGGAAGGGCAGUAAGUUAAUAACUUGCUGUUUUGAAGGUACCAACAGAAUAAGCACCGGCUAACUUCGUG